rnacentral:rRNA from 1 species
UACGUAGGGUGCAAGCGUUAAUCGGAAUUACUGGGCGUAAAGCGUGCGCAGGCGGUGAUGUAAGACAGGUGUGAAAUCCCCGGGCUUAACCUGGGAACUGCAUUUGUGACUGCAUCGCUGGAGUGCGGCAGAGGGGGAUGGAAUUCCGCGUGUAGCAGUGAAAUGCGUAGAUAUGCGGAGGAACACCGAUGGCGAAGGCGGUUGCCUGGGGCUUUGCUGACGCUGAGGCGCGAAAGCGUGGGGAGCGAUCCGG